rnacentral:tRNA from 7 species
GGAAGGGUGGCCGAGGUGGUUGAAGGCGUCGGUCUCGAAAACCGAUAUACCCUUACGGGUAUCGAGAGUUCGAAUCUCUCCCCUUCCG